rnacentral:rRNA from 1 species
GACCUCAGAGCAGGUGAGAUUACCCGCCGAAUUUAAGCAUAUCAAUAAGCGGAGGAAGAUCUCCCUGCUAAUUCCCUUCGUAUCGGAGGAAAAGCACCU